GCCUUCGUGGUGUAAUGGUCAGUACACUGAGCCAGUAUUUCAGAGGUCCGCGGUUCGAUUCCCGGCGAAGGCG
rnacentral:tRNA from 1 species